rnacentral:rRNA from 1 species
UGAUGGUACCUUGCUACUUGGAUAACCGUAGUAAUUCUAGAGCUAAUACAUGCAGGAAUUCCCGACUUCGGAAGGGAUGUAUUUAUUAGAUAAGAAACCAAACCGGUCUCCGGUUGUGUGCUGAGUCAUAAUAACUGCUCGAAUCGCACAGCUCUACGCUGGCGAUGGUUCAUUCAAAUUUCUGCCCUAUCAGCUUUCGAUGGUAGGAUAGAGGCCUACCAUGGCGUUAACGGGUAACGGAGAAUUAGGGUUCGAUUCCGGAGAGGGAGCCUGAGAAAUGGCUACCACAUCCAAGGAAGGCAGCAGGCGCGUAAAUUGCCCGAAUCCUGACACAGGGAGGUAGUGACAAGAAAUAACAAUACAGGGCUCUCUGAGUCUUGUAAUUGGAAUGAGUACAAUUUACAUCUCUUCACGAGGAUCAAUUGGAGGGCAAGUCUGGUGCCAGCAGCCGCGGUAAUUCCAGCUCCAAUAGCGUAUAUUAAAGUUGUUGCAGUUAAAACGCUCGUAGUCGGAUUUCGGGGCGGGGCCGCCGGUCUGCCGAUAGGUAUGCACUGGCGGGCGCGUCCUUUUUCCCGGAGACGGCUGCUACUCUUAACUGAGCGGUGGUCGGAGACGGGAUGUUUA